AGUCGAGCGCACCCUUCGGGGCGAGCGGCGGACGGGUUAGUAACGCGUGGGAACAUACCCUUUUCUAUGGAAUAGCCUUUGGAAACGAAGAGUAAUACCAUAUACGCCCUUCGGGGGAAAGAUUUAUCGGAGAAGGAUUGGCCCGCGUAAGAUUAGAUAGUUGGUGGGGUAAUGGCCUACCAAGUCUACGAUCUUUAGCUGGUUUUAGAGGAUGAUCAGCAACACUGGGACUGAGACACGGCCCAGACUCCUACGGGAGGCAGCAGUGGGGAAUCUUAGACAAUGGGCGCAAGCCUGAUCUAGCCAUGCCGCGUGUGUGAUGAAGGCCUUAGGGUCGUAAAGCACUUUCGCCAGAGAUGAUAAUGACAGUAUCUGGUAAAGAAACCCCGGCUAACUCCGUGCCAGCAGCCGCGGUAAUACGGAGGGGGUUAGCGUUGUUCGGAAUUACUGGGCGUAAAGCGUACGUAGGCGGAUCAGAAAGUAGGGGGUGAAAUCCCGAGGCUCAACCUCGGAACUGCCUCCUAAACUCCUGGUCUUGAGUUCGAGAGAGGUGAGUGGAAUUCCAAGUGUAGAGGUGAAAUUCGUAGAUAUUUGGAGGAACACCAGUGGCGAAGGCGG
rnacentral:rRNA from 1 species